rnacentral:tRNA from 1 species
GGGGAGAUGUCAGGGUGGUUAAAGAGCUUGACUAGAAAUCAACGAAGCUCUGCGCGCACAGGUUCGGAUCCUGUUCGCUGCG